rnacentral:rRNA from 1 species
CACGUAGGGUGCGAGCGUUGUCCGGGAUUAUUGGGCGUAAAGAGCUCGUAGGCGGUGUGUCGCGUCGGCCGUGAAAACCUGCAGCUUAACUGUGGGCGUGCGGUCGAUACGGGCAUCACUGGAGUUCGGCAGGGGAGACUGGAAUUCCUGGUGUAGCGGUGAAAUGCGCAGAUAUCAGGAGGAACACCGGUGGCGAAGGCGGGUCUCUGGGCCGAUACUGACGCUGAGGAGCGAAAGCGUGGGGAGCGAACAGG